rnacentral:rRNA from 1 species
CACGUAGGGCGCAAGCGUUGUCCGGAAUUAUUGGGCGUAAAGAGCUCGUAGGCGGUCUGUUGCGUCCGCUGUGAAAACCCGGGGCUUAACCCCUGGCUUGCAGUGGAUACGGACAGACUAGAGGUAGGUAGGGGAGAAUGGAAUUCCCGGUGUAGCGGUGAAAUGCGCAGAUAUCGGGAGGAACACCGGUGGCGAAGGCGGUCAACUGGACCAUUACUGACGCUGAGGCGCGAAAGCGUGGGGAGCAAACAGG